CAUAUCACAUUGAAUCACCAGUUCCCGUACGAUCACCUAAGUUAUAAAACAACGAGCUUGGUCAGUACCCAGAUGGGUGACCGCUUGGGAAGGUCAGGGGGUGUAAU